CUUUUUAGGGUUGCACCCGUGGCAUAUGGAGGUUCCCAGGCUCGAGGCUGAAUUGGAGCUGUCGCAACUGGCCUACGCCACAGCCACAGUAACACAGGAUCCAAGCCGCAUCUGUGACCUACACCACAGCUCACAGCAACGCCAGAUCCUUAACCCACUGAGUGAGGCCAGGGUUCCAACCUGUGUCCUCAUGGAUGCUGGUCAGAUUCAUUUCCGCUGAGCCAUGAUGGGACCUCCUGAAGGAAUUUCUAAAGAGUGUAAUUCAUUGCUUUCUUUUUUGUCUUUUUAGGGCUGCACCCACAGCAUAUGGAGGUUCCCAGGCUAGGGGUCUAAUCAGAGCUGUAGCCGCCGGCCUACACCACAGCCACAGCAACGCCAGAUCCAAACCACGUCUGCAACCUACACCACAACUCUUAUGGCAACACCAGAUCCUUAACCCACUGAUCGAGGCCAGAGAUCAAACUUUCAUCUUCAUGGAUAUUAGUCAGAUUCACUUCCACUGAGCCAUGACGGAACUCCUGAUGUGCAAAGUUAAUAAAAGGCCAAGGGUGGAGAUCCCAUCAUAGCUCAGUGGAAGCAAAUCCAACUAGGAACCAUGAAGUUUCAGGUUCAAUCCCUGACCUUGCUCAGCGGGUUAAGGAUCCAGCAUUGCCGUGAGCUGUGGUGUAGGUCACAGAUAUGGCUUGGAUCCCACAUUGCUGUGGCUGUGGCUGGCAGCUGUCGCUCUGAUUAGCCUGGGAAACUCCAUAUGCCAUGGGUGUAGCCUUAAAAAAAAAAAAUUUUAAAAAAGGCCAAGGGUUGCUGAGAGCAAUUUCUCUCUUGUUCUUUUGUUUUUGUUUUUGUUUUUGCUGGCCACACCUGUGGGAUGCGGAAGUUCCUGGGUGAGGGACUGAACCCAAGUCAAAACAGUGACACUGCCAAGUCCUUAACCACGAGGCCACCAGGGAACACCCAAUUUCUCUUUUCUUAAAGAUGUCUUACAAAAACUGUAAGAUACAUGGAGAGGGGAGAUAAAAGCCAGUAAAUUCCAUUUUCAGGAAAACUGAGUGAUAGAUAUCAUCUGUAUAUUCAAAAAUGCACAGGUGCUGCCAGAAUCAUCAGAGAAGCUGCGUGGGGAUCAAGUAGAUACCACAGGGAUUAAGAGAACAGAAAGAGGCCAGAGGUGACAGAUCUCAGAAAAUAUUAGUAAAACUACAUUUCCUGUGGGUAAAGGGCUCAGCCUGAAGUAAGCAACCUACAUCCUUUACAUACCACAAGAGUUGAGAGAGCUGGAAAUCACCAAGCAGAAAGCAACUGGUCAGAAGUUGUGUGGGUGGAAGUACAAGAAAGUUAAAAGGAAAAUAGAGAAAUGACCCAGAGGUGGCUGAUCUCAAAAAAAUGCCCAUAGAAUACAGUCACUGAAGGAAUCUUUUACAAAUGGCUGCGCCAGAAAAAUCCAACUCAUUGAAUAAAGAGUGAUAAAAAAAGAACUGGCAGAAGACAU
ensembl:lncRNA